rnacentral:rRNA from 1 species
GAGUUUGAUCCUGGCUCAGAUUGAACGCUGGCGGCAGGCCUAACACAUGCAAGUCGAGCGGUAGAGAGGAGCUUGCUUCUCUUGAGAGCGGCGGACGGGUGAGUAAUGCCUAGGAAUCUGCCUAGUGGUGGGGGAUAACGUUCGGAAACGGACGCUAAUACCGCAUACGUCCUACGGGAGAAAGCGGGGGAUCUUCGGACCUCGCGCCAUUAGAUGAGCCUAGGUCGGAUUAGCUAGUUGGUGAGGUAAUGGCUCACCAAGGCGACGAUCCGUAACUGGUCUGAGAGGAUGAUCAGUCACACUGGAACUGAGACACGGUCCAGACUCCUACGGGAGGCAGCAGUGGGGAAUAUUGGACAAUGGGCGAAAGCCUGAUCCAGCCAUGCCGCGUGUGUGAAGAAGGUCUUCGGAUUGUAAAGCACUUUAAGUUGGGAGGAAGGGUCGUAACCUAAUACGUUACGGCUUUGACGUUACCGACAGAAUAAGCACCGGCUAACUUCGUGCCAGCAGCCGCGGUAAUACGAAGGGUGCAAGCGUUAAUCGGAAUUACUGGGCGUAAAGCGCGCGUAGGUGGUUCAGCAAGUUGGAUGUGAAAGCCCUGGGCUCAACCUGGGAACUGCAUCCAAAACUACUGAGCUAGAGUACGGUAGAGGGUAGUGGAAUUUCCUGUGUAGCGGUGAAAUGCGUAGAUAUAGGAAGGAACACCAGUGGCGAAGGCGACUACCUGGACUGAUACUGACACUGAGGUGCGAAAGCGUGNGGAGCAAACAGGAUUAGAUACCCUGGUAGUCCACGCCGUAAACGAUGUCGACUAGCCGUUGGGAUCCUUGA